rnacentral:rRNA from 1 species
UACGGGGGGGGUAAGCGUUGUUCGGAAUUACUGGGCGUAAAGGGCUCGUAGGCGGCCAACUAAGUCGGACGUGAAAUCCCUGGGCUCAACCCAGGAACUGCGUCCGAUACUGGUUGGCUUGAAUCCGGGAGAGGGAUGUGGAAUUCCAGGUGUAGCGGUGAAAUGCGUAGAUAUCUGGAGGAACACCGGUGGCGAAGGCGACAUCCUGGACCGGUAUUGACGCUGAGGCGCGAAAGCCAGGGGAGCAAACGGG